rnacentral:rRNA from 1 species
UACAGAGGUCCCAAGUGUUGUCCGGAAUUACUGGGCGUAAAGAGCUCGUAGGUGGUUUGUCGCGUUGUUCGUGAAAUCUCACGGCUUAACUGUGAGCGUGCGGGCGAUACGGGCAGACUGGAGUACUGCAGGGGAGACUGGAAUUCCUGGUGUAGCGGUGGAAUGCGCAGAUAUCAGGAGGAACACCGGUGGCGAAGGCGGGUCUCUGGGCAGUAACUGACGCUGAGGAGCGAAAGCGUGGGGAGCGAACAGG